UCUCCGUUGGUGAACCAGCGGAGGGAUCAUUACAGAGUUGCAAAACUCCCUAAACCAUUGUGAACGUUACCUAAACCGUUGCUUCGGCGGGCGGCCCCGGGGUUCUCCCCGGGCGCCCCUGGGCCCCAUCGCGGGCGCCCGCCGGAGGUCACCAAACUCUUGAUUGUUAUAGUGGCAUUCUCUGAGUAAAACAUACAAAUAAGUCAAAACUUUCAACAACGGAUCUCUUGGCUCUG
rnacentral:misc_RNA from 1 species